rnacentral:rRNA from 1 species
UGAGGAAUAUUGGGCAAUGCCCGAAAGGGUGACCCAGCAACGCCGCGUGGAGGAUGAAUGCCGUAAGGUUGUAAACUCCUGUUAGAGGGGAAGAACAAUCCCGAUCGACUCGGGAUCUGACUGUACCCUCAGAGAAAGCCCCGGCUAACUACGUGCCAGCAGCCGCGGUAAUACGUAGGGGGCAAGCGUUGUCCGGAUUUACUGGGUGUAAAGGGCGCGCAGGUGGGUUUGCAAGUCAGAGGUGAAAUCUCACGGCUUAACCGUGAAAGUGCCCUUGAUACUGCAAAUCUUGAGUUCGGAAGAGAGAGACGGAAUUCCAGGUGUAGUGGUGAAAUACGUAGAUAUCUGGAAGAACACCAGUUGCGAAGGCGGUCUCUUGGUCCGAUACUGACACUCAGGCGCGAAAGCGUGGGUAGCAA